UACGGGGGGGGCAAGCGUUGUUCGGAAUUACUGGGCGUAAAGGGCUUGUAGGCGGCCAACUAAGUCAGACGUGAAAUCCCUCGGCUUAACCGGGGAACUGCGUCUGAUACUGGAUGGCUUGAGUUCGGGAGAGGGAUGCGGAAUUCCAGGUGUAGCGGUGAAAUGCGUAGAUAUCUGGAGGAACACCGGUGGCGAAGGCGGCAUCCUGGACCGACACUGACGCUGAAAAGCGAAAGCCAGGGGAGCAAACAGG
rnacentral:rRNA from 1 species